UGAACGCUGGCGGCGUGCUUAACACAUGCAAGUCGAACGAAGCUCCCCGAUUUGAGUUUCGGACAAGAUGAAGGGAUGACUUAGUGGCGGACGGGUGAGUAAUGCGUGAGCAACCUGCCCUUCAGUGGGGGACAACAGUUGGAAACGACUGCUAAUACCGCAUAAAGUAUUCGGAAGGCAUCUUUUGAAUACCAAAGAUUUUUAUCGCUGAAGGAUGGGCUCACGUCUGAUUAGCUAGUUGGUGAGGUAAUGGCUCACCAAGGCUGCGAUCAGUAGCCGGACUGAGAGGUUGACCGGCCACAUUGGGACUGAGAUACGGCCCAGACUCCUACGGGAGGCAGCAGUGGGGAAUAUUGGGCAAUGGGCGCAAGCCCUGACCCAGCAACGCCGCGUGAAGGAAGAAGGCUUUCGGGUUGUAAACUUCUUUUAGCAGGGACGAAACAAAUGACGGUACCUGCAGAAUAAGCACCGGCUAACUACGUGCCAGCCGCCGC
rnacentral:rRNA from 1 species